CUAAUGUGGCACAUGAAGGAAUUACGGAUGGACUUUUGUUUAAUUUGUUGUCAGGCUGUGGCUCAGGCCCUUAUGUUUGGGGGAAGUACGGAAAGGUUCCAUUUUAGUCGGACCAUUAUUAAUUACUAUAAGUAUUUGAAAGCAGAAUACAUAUUAGACUUUCCAAAACAUUUCAUUUAGACAUUUUAACUAAAGGUAGGACUUAUUGAAUACUUGAUUUUUGUUGAAAAUGUGCCUAUUGAACAGCCAGCCAACCAUUUGAACGCGUGAGGUUCACAUGCUUGAUGUGGAAAAUGUGACCAAUUAGAAAUGGACGUGUUCGAUAGCUUUCUCAAACCCUUGCAAAAAUUACCAGCAUUUGCUCACAACAUGUGUUGCGCGCGUCAUUGAUGCUUUCUUGUAUGUAAAAGUGGAGUCUUUUUCAGCUAUUGUGGCAAAUGUAUGUGUGAAGUUUUGUCGCUUUUUUUAAUUUGUUGUCAGGCCCUUAUGUUUGGGGACAGUGCGGAAAGGGUUUCGAUGUCAUAGUUAAUAGAUCGACUUGAAUGCAGAUGAGUCGAACCAUUAUUAAUUGUUACUCCAUUUUAUAUGGUAACUCCCAGGGAGCUAGCUAUGUCAUGUUGAUAAGGAGGAUAGUGCAGAUGAGUUGAACCAUUAUUAAUUUGUUACUCCAUUUUAUAUGGUAACUCCUAGGGAGCUCAAUCUCAUGCUGAUAAGGAG
rnacentral:lncRNA from 1 species